rnacentral:lncRNA from 1 species
GUACUUUAUUGGGGAUGUGUUUGCUGCAUGGUUCAAUGAUGCCCUCACAGUUGUGGAGAGUUUGGUCAAAGUCACUCUGUAUGGAUCUCAGAUAAAGUUGUACAACAUUGAAACUGAUGUGCCAUCAGUAUUGAAACCUGACCUCAUUGAUGUACGUGCUCAGUCCCUGGCUGUGCUGCAGGCUUACACUCACUGGUUAGUGCAGUAUUGCAGUGAAG